rnacentral:rRNA from 1 species
GACGAACGCUGGCGGCGUGCUUAACACAUGCAAGUCGAACGAAGUGGCGAACGGGUGAGUAACGCGUAAUCAACCUGCCCUUCAGAGGGGGACAACAGUUGGAAACGACUGAUAAUACCGCAUACUGAAGGGGGGGCAUGCGUCGGAUUAGCUAGUUGGAUGGGUAACGGCCCACCAAGGCGAAGAGUAGUAGCCGGUCUUGAAGGAUGAACGGCCAAAUUGGGACUGAGAAACGGCCCAGACUCCUACGGGAUGCAGCAGGGGGGAAUCUGCCGCAAUGGACGAAAGUCUGACGGAGCAACGCCGCGUGAGUGAUGACGGCCUUCGGGUUGUAAAGCUCUGUUAAUCGGGACGCGGUACCGGAAUAGAAAGCCACGGCUAACUACGUGCCAGCAGCCGCGGUAAUUC